CACCGCCCACGGGCCACGGGCCCACCCACCCCCAACGCAACGCUCCUCGUCGUCUCCUCUUGCUCCCCACCCCACCCCACCCCACCCGUCCUCCUCGCGGCGAGCCAUGGCGGCGCCGUUCGUCCGCCGCCCGACCGAUGACGGCACCAGCGGCACCAGUGCGAGCGCUCUCCUGGGGCGGCCUUAGAUGGGUACCUCGGACGACUCGAAGGGUGCUUCCUCUCCUCAUCUUCGCCGUGUCCAUCCCACCCGAUCGAUCUGUGUAGGCAUGAUGGGAAACUAUUCUAAACAUAUUUAUUUACGUGCCACUAUAAUGAUUAUAAUUUUUCUAAAAGAAUUUAAUAAGAUAAAUGUGAUAGACCUACUUUAACUAGCUGUAAUUUAAUUUGUUUUUUUUCUCGUUGGACUUGUAAAAGUUGAAUACAUGUUUAUGGAGUGAUAUAUCACAUUUUAAUCUAUCUUCUUAAUUGUUUCAUAACCAUUUAGAUAGCAAAUGAGGGGAUGCCCCUUUUGCAUGCUCCUGUGUGCUUUUCCGCCCUUAGGUUUGAGUGAUGCUUGUGUACUUGUGUUGCGUUUGCAUCGAUGGUUGUAUUGUUGAUUUGAACAUGGAAGGAAAAGUUUUAGCCUAGCUGCGCUUCAGCAUCUAGCACUCUCGUUGCCUUCAGAACUUUGCCACAUUCUAUUUUCCGUAUUUCUAGGUUCUCUAGAUGGAUUUGAUCGUUUGUGAAAGCUUUUAACUGUUUAAUUCCCAGGUCCAUGAAUUACCAACUUAUCUUAUCUAGAGAUUGCAAGAUUUGAGGCUUCCUUGCCUUCGAUAAAUGCGACAAAUGUUGUGAUUAUCCUCUAUUACAUUUACGCCUCCAAGUGUGACUGUUUGUGAUGUGUAGUCAGGUAGUAAUCUGAACAAAUGUUUUCAAGUUGCAAAGUACAGGUUUACAUAGACGACCCAGUGAGUGUAUAGGUGCACAUGACUCAGUGAGGAUAUUGCACAUUACACAUAUUUGUUACUUUUCUUUUCGUGUUAUAGGUAGUUAAUCCGUCCAUUCUAUUCCUCAAUGAGAUGACGUUUCUGUGUUUUUCUUUAGGAGAAGAUAUUAUAAAGAGCCUUGAUAUGGGGAAAGGAAAGGCCCGAGAUGCAGUCUUAGCUCGUAAAAAGGAUGGGAUUGGGUUGCUGCAUGCCGCAGCAUGCCAGGGCCAUCUGACUGUUUGCAAGUUCUUGAUGGAGGAAUUGGGGGGGUUGCCAUGUCUACGUUUGGUAGUAUGAUGUGAAGUAUACCAAUGUGCUGUUUAUCACAUAUGUUUAACACCGUUUAUGGCCUGUGCUGAGUCUGGUGAUGUUCCUACUGUGAAGUAUUUUCUUGAUCAUGGUGGUGAUGUAACAAAAUCAGAUGAUAAAGGAUGCACACAGUUCUCCACCAUGCUGCUGGCACAGAUCCCCCUCAAUAUCCAGUUCAUUCUUAUAUAUAUUACCAAUUGUAUUGUUGUACAAGGCUCUAUAAUACUGCAAUACUAUUAAUGGAGUAUGUUUCAAUCACAGCUUCACCGUAAUCAUUUCUUAUGUCCUUGUAUUUAUAGCAAACGCCUGCAAAUAAACCAUUUCUCUCCUCCUUUAUUAAUGAAAAGAGGAGUCCUCCUGCCCUUCGAAAAAAAAGGUAAUCAUUUCUUAUGUGGCAAUCUAGAUACCUUUAGUUUCUAUAUAUCACCACUCAAAGUUAUAUAAGUUUGCUCUAUUUAUACUUGAUCACAUGUAAUCUGUUCCAAGUUGUUUAUUGUAAUGGUCAUUGUUUAUUCACAUAACCCAAUUUCUAUAGUAUCUCUCUCCCAGGAUUUAUAGCUCAUCUCAUUCACGCUCAGGAUGCUGUAAGGUAACAGAGUUCUUGCUUUCAAAAGGAAUACCUAUUGACAUAGACGGCGAUUAUUAUACAUCUUGACCUUUAGUAAUACUCCUAAGUCUUAAGAUUACCAUUUGGCAUGCUCUAAGUAAGGCUUGGGUGAUGAUUUCGGCGGAAAGAGUGAAAACUUGGGCGUUCAAUUCAUGACACUAAUAAAACCUAUCCUGCUCUAUGAGCUAUUCAACUCUAAAUGAUUGAAAUGCUUUUGGAUUAUCAUGUCAUUGUUUGUACCUUCAGUAACUUCAUUGCCGACCUUCUCAUUUUAUAUUGACAUCACUAAAUGUGCAUUAAAAUCUCUUCCAAUGCGGCAACUCCAUCUUGGCUUCAUGAACUCUGAACUCGUUUUUAAGAAUUGGCAAACGAUGAUCAGAAAAAAAAAAGUUAAAGUAUUGUAUUUCUUUCCUUUUUCUUUCACAUAUUCUGCUUUUAGCCUAACGUAAUUGCCAACAAUGGAGCCUGUAGUACCCUGAUAAGUGCUCUUGACUGCUGUUCGUUGAAGUGCAUGAAGCUACUCAUAAAGGCCAGUGUGUUAUCGAGUCUGUAUUUGUUCAACUACUGCUGUGCUUUUAUUUUGCUAAUCAAAACAUGAUCCACAAUGCUUUUCAUGAUCUCAGGCUGGUGCUGAUGUUAAUAACAAGGGUACAGGUAUAACUCCCUUAAUGUUUGCCGCGUUGCAAGGGUGUUAUACUUACUUCAUCAAGAUUCUCCUGGAGACUGGAGCAAUCCCUAAUAUUCCCAAUGUUUUGGGUUGGUUGCCAGUAGAGCAUGUUGCAUCAUGUGAUUGCAGGGAAGGAGUUGAAAUGCUAUUUCCAUUCACAUCCCCAAAUUCCAAAUGUCCCAAACUGGAGUGUUGAUGGAAUAAUUUCUCAUGCAAAGGUCAACCAUACAAAGCCAACGACUCGUGGACCAACUGCAGUUCUGUACGCAAACAAGAGCAUUUGUAGAUUGCUCAUGGGUGAUGGUGAAGGUGCUCUGUCUGAUGGAGAUGCCGAAUGAUGCAGCCUAACUGGGCAAAAGCUCACAUGCUACUCAAGGAGUAGAAGCAUGCAUGCGAUGCUCACUUGGAUACGCAAAAAUUGGAUCCUGGGAGCGUUGAGAUUGAGAGGGAACUUAGGUAUCAUCUUCUGUUUCUCUUGAGCAUGUUUUCCAAUCACAAAUGCGGUUGUGCACGGAACAUGACUGUUAUUAUUAAGAUGACGUUGUGGCCACAUUUACUGGAGCUGAACACUGAAACUUUUCUUUUUGGUUUUAUAUGCCUUUCUUCCAUCUUUGAGUUGAUGAUGGCAACGUGCAUUGGCUGCAUGCAUUUAACUGACAUUUAACUGCAUGGCAAUCUGAUUUGGCUGGCAUAUGCAAAUCCUGCUCGUUUGUCUUAAAGGAGAAAGGCAGCUCAUUAUUCAGACAUUUCAGUGCCCAAUGAGUUCCGACAUUGUCAUUUUCACCCAUUUUUCUCGCAUGAAGGAAAAUGAGGGAACCGUGGGCGUCAUUGUCUGUUAUCAUUUUGACUUUGCUUUAAUCAUUAAGUUUUCAUGACUAGAACGAUUCUAAUGAAUGUUGGCAUGUUGCUAUGUAAAACAUUGGAAAUGAAUGACAGAAUUGCUAGUGUUCAUUUUAACAUA